UACAGAGGGUGCGAGCGUUGUCCGGAAGCACUGGGCGUAAAGGGCGCGUAGGCGGUCCGGUAAGCGUGUGGGGAAAGCUCGGGGCUCAACCCCGAGUCGGCCAUGCGAACUGCGGGACUGGAGCAUGUCAGAGGCAGGCGGAAUUCCGGGUGUAGCGGUGGAAUGCGUAGAGAUCCGGAAGAACACCGGUGGCGAAGGCGGCCUGCUGGGACAUUGCUGACGCUGAGGCGCGACAGCGUGGGGAGCAAACAGG
rnacentral:rRNA from 1 species